rnacentral:rRNA from 1 species
ACGAACGCUGGCGGCGUGCUUAACACCUGCCAGUCGAACGGAAAGGCCCUGCUUGCAGGGUACUCGAGUGGCGAACGGGUGAGUAACACGUGGGUGAUCUGCCCUGCACUUCGGGAUAAGCCUGGGAAACUGGGUCUAAUACCGGAUAGGAGCCAUUUUUAGUGUGAUGGUUGGAAAGUUUUUUCGGUGUAGGAUGAGCUCGCGGCCUAUCAGCUUGUUGGUGGGGUAAUGGCCUACCAAGGCGGCGACGGGUAGCCGGCCUGAGAGGGUGGACGGCCACAUUGGGACUGAGAUACGGCCCAGACUCCUACGGGAGGCAGCAGUGGGGAAUAUUGCACAAUGGGCGCAAGCCUGAUGCAGCGACGCCGCGUGGGGGAUGACGGCCUUCGGGUUGUAAACGCCUUUCGCUAGGGACGAAGCUUUUUGUGACGGUACCUAGAUAAGAAGCACCGGCUAACUACGUG